rnacentral:misc_RNA from 1 species
UUUAAACCAAAGAGUGCACUUAAUUGUGGCUCAAAUUUUAUUAAUUUAAACCCCAAACAUUUGAUUGUAUGACCGCCCAAACCUUUUGUGUCAUUUCAAUCAAGUAAAAGCAACAUUUUUGUUGCAUUAUCCCCCCCCUAACCUUUUUUUUUUUUAUUUAAAUACACAAGUGAACUUAAGAAUAAAAUUGAUUGAUUAAAUUGAAAUAA